rnacentral:rRNA from 1 species
AAUCAACGCUGGCGGCGUGCCUAACACAUGCAAGUCGAGCGCGGAAAGGGGAGCAAUCCCCAAGUAGAGCGGCGAACGGGUGAGUAACGCGUGGGUAAUCUGCCUCCGAGUGGGGAACAACAUCGGGAAACUGGUGCUAAUACCGCAUAACAUCGUCGGGUUUUCGGAUCUGACGAUCAAAGCCGGGGACCGCAAGGCCUGGCGCUUGGAGAGGAGCCCGCGUCCGAUUAGCUAGNGGUGGGUAAUGGCCCACCAAGGCUUCGAUCGGUAGCCGGCCUGAGAGGGCGGACGGCCACACUGGGACUGAGACACGGUCCGGACUCCUACGGGAGGCAGCAGUGGGGAAUAUUGGACAAUGGGCGAAAGCCUGAUCCAGCGACGCCGCGU